rnacentral:rRNA from 1 species
GGUGAACGCUAGCUACAGGCUUAACACAUGCAAGCCCUGGGGCAGCAUGGUCUUAGCUUGCUAAGGCCGAUGGCGACCGGCGCACGGGUGAGUAACACGUAUCCAACCUGCCGUCUACUCUUGGACAGCCUUCUGAAAGGAAGAUUAAUACAAGAUGGCAUCAUGAGUCCACAUGUUCACAUGAUUAAAGGUAUUCCGGUAGACGAUGGGGAUGCGUUCCAUUAGAUAGUAGGCGGGGUAACGGCCCACCUAGUCUUCGAUGGAUAGGGGUUCUGAGAGGAAGGUCCCCCACAUUGGAACUGAGACACGGUCCAAACUCCUACGGGAGGCAGCAGUGAGGAAUAUUGGUCAAUGGGCGAGAGCCUGAACCAGCCAAGUAGCGUGAAGGAUGACUGCCCUAUGGGUUGUAAACUUCUUUUAUAAAGGAAUAAAGUCGGGUAUGGAUACCCGUUUGCAUGUACUUUAUGAAUAAGGAUCGGCUAACUCCGUGCCAGCAGCCGCGGUAAUACGGAGGAUCCGAGCGUUAUCCGGAUUUAUUGGGUUUAAAGGGAGCGUAGAUGGAUGUUUAAGUCAGUUGUGAAAGUUUGCGGCUCAACCGUAAAAUUGCAGUUGAUACUGGAUAUCUUGAGUGCAGUUGAGGCAGGCGGAAUUCGUGGUGUAGCGGUGAAAUGCUUAGAUAUCACGAAGAACUCCGAUUGCGAAGGCAGCCUGCUAAGCUGCAACUGACAUUGAGGCUCGAAAGUGUGGGUAUCAAACAGGAUUAGAUACCCUGGUAGUCCACACGGUAAACGAUGAAUACUCGCUGUUUGCGAUAUACUGCAAGCGGCCAAGCGAAAGCGUUAAGUAUUCCACCUGGGGAGUACGCCGGCAACGGUGAAACUCAAAGGAAUUGACGGGGGCCCGCACAAGCGGAGGAACAUGUGGUUUAAUUCGAUGAUACGCGAGGGACCUUACCCGGGCUUAAAUUGCAGAUGAAUUACGGUGAAAGCCGUAAGCCGCAAGGCAUCUGUGAAGGUGCUGCAUGGUUGUCGUCAGCUCGUGCCGUGAGGUGUCGGCUUAAGUGCCAUAACGAGCGCAACCCUUGUUGUCAGUUACUAACAGGUUCCGCUGAGGACUCUGACAAGACUGCCAUCGUAAGAUGUGAGGAAGGUGGGGAUGACGUCAAAUCAGCACGGCCCUUACGUCCGGGGCUACGCACGUGUUACAAUGGGGGGUACAGAGGGCCGCUACCACGCGAGUGGAUGCCAAUCCCCAAAACCUCUCUCAGUUCGGACUGGAGUCUGCAACCCGACUCCACGAAGCUGGAUUCGCUAGUAAUCGCGCAUCAGCCACGGCGCGGUGAAUACGUUCCCGGGCCUUGUACACACCGCCCGUCAAGCCAUGGGAGCCGGGAGUACAAGAAGU